AUGUCGGCGGCGGCAGCAGCUGCGGACACGUACUCCCCGGCCGCGGAGGCUGGGAGCAAGCGCCGGGAGAGGAGGGAGGAGCUGCGGCGCCACCUCGCCGAGGAUGCCGAUUGGCCCCGGGCCGACGGCCGCUCCUUGCACGACUGCCGCCCCGCAUUUAUGCAAACAGGGCCAACUACUGCUGCAUCAGGGUCUGCUUAUGCAGAAUUUGGGAAGACAAAGGUCAUUGUGUCAGUGUUUGGCCCAAGGGAGAGCAAGAAAGCAAUGCUGUACAGUGACACUGGUAGGCUCAAUUGCAGUGUGAGCUAUACAACAUUCGCCACUGGUAUACGUGGACAGGGGCUGGAAAACAAGGAGUACUCUGGAAUGCUUCACAAAGCCCUGGAAGGCGCAGUAAUGCUACAUACUUUUCCGAAGACAACUGUUGAUGUUUUUGCGUUGGUUCUUGAGUCUGGUGGCAGCGAUCUUCCCAUUAUAAUAUCUUGCGCUAGUCUUGCACUGGCAGAUGCUGGGAUUAUGAUGUAUGACCUUGUUACAUCAGUAUCCGUGUCCUGUUUAGGGAAGAACGUUAUCAUCGAUCCAACCUCAGACGAGGAGGCAUGGCAAGACGGAGGCCUCAUGGUAUCUUACAUGCCGGCCCGCAAGGAGAUUACACAACUUACGCUGACUGGGGAGUGGACUGAUGGCAAAAUCACCAAUGCAGUAGAGCUCUGUAUGGAUGCUUGCAGUAAGCUCUGCGAGAUAUUGCGGGAGCGCUUGAAAGACCCCGCGAGCUUGGCGAGCGAAUGA
rnacentral:rRNA from 1 species